CACAGGCCUGAAAAUUCUGUUCCCGGGGACACUUGCAUGCGCAUCGUUUAAUUUUCCCUCACCCAAUCACGAAUGAGGUAAGUGUCAGAAGCAUGCCAUGUCAUUCAUGUCUCUCCGACUGUGUGUGUUAACUUUACAUUCUAAAACAACUGGUAAGCUUAGAACAAUCCUGAAGAUUGAGUUAAAUUUACAUUCUAAAACAACCAGUAAGUUUAGAACAAUCCUGAAGAUGGAAUUAUGUCAUUCAUUAUAUAGUUACUCAAGUUAAUUAUAUAUUAACUUCUAAUUGAUUACUAGAGAUGUAUUUGGUAGUUGUUUCAAGGACUAAUUUGGUAUUCUUCCACGAUUAAUGCCUCAUUUCUCCCCAUAUAAGCACGGUGCUUUCUUUGUUAAAAUGGAAGGAGGGAAAAGAUUACAGCCAUCUUUGUGAAGAGAAGUUUAAGAACACAUCGUUCACCUAUGAUUUCCCUCAAGGAAACAACGGGGCUAGUUUUCUUUUUAAAUGAACAGUGUAUAAAUUGUAGUUGUAGCAUGUUCACCUGCCCAAACUACACAUUUAGUUGAGUUUGCGUCCAUAUGAUUCAUGUUCCUAAGUUGAAGGAAAUUCUCGAAAGCAAGCCUUCUAGCAGUCUAUUGUUCCCCAAUCAAAUGAUUCUUGUACACUCAAGUCAGUAGUUGAGUUGUUAAAAGUCAUUUUCAUGAUAAACUCUCGAAAGCAAGCCUUCUAGCAGUCUAUUGUUCCCCAAUCAAAUGAUUCUUGUACACUCAAGUCAGUAGUUGAGUUGUUAAAAGUCAUUUUCAUGAUUCAGAAGUUGGAUGAAACUGAAAUCUCUCAUUUUUUCCCCUUUAUUUGAAGGUAAUUGAUAUAACUGCAUCACUGCCACCCAUUCUCCUAACGCAAGGAGAGUCAAAAGAAAUCACACAAGGUUAGUGAAGAUGUUUAAGUGAUGCAGUUUGAAUUUCGUUUAUUUAUUUACUUUCUUUUCCUUUCCCUAAUUUAGAUUUGGUGGGUUUUAUAUUAGAAAUUUUGUUGUUUUUCAUGUAGUUUAAUUUCAUGCGCCAACCCCAUUGAAUCGGCCUGAGGCUUAUAGAUUGUAUUUGUGGAGUUUUAUAUCAAAAAACGUAGUUGUUGACUUGAAAUCUAGAGAGUCAGUUUGGGAAAGAAUAUAUGAACGGUAUAAUCUAUAAAUAGAUAAAAAUGAAAAAUGAAUAAGUAAAUAGUACUUUUGGAUCCGUCGAAAUGUAUGGCUGAAUUUUGUCAAAUGAAGUUUAAGUGAAAACACGGCUCAAUAGACCGCCAAAAUAUUUAUUAGAGUCGACCAGAGACGAAGAAAAAACCUUCAGGCGUUUGAAAUGAAACAUUUACUAGGAAUAAUAUGGGAAGUUGUUUAGUCUUAAGUUACAAAACACUGCUAAAAAUAAUUGUCCUGUAUUUGCUUAAAAUAUAUAUAGCUGACAAUUGAAACUUGAACAAGAAUAUAUUACGAAUAUGACAAAUAUUUUGGAGUGCUUUUCAAAAGUGUGACAAGGAUGUUUGUUUUGUGCAUAACAUUGGCACCCGCACACAGUAACGUCUAUUGAAAGAUAUUGGCACCCCCACGGUAACGUAUACUGAAACAUCUGAUCUAUU
rnacentral:lncRNA from 1 species